CACCCCCGCUCCCCUCCCCGCCUCCCCUCCAGCCCGUUGCGCGUCCCUUCGGAAGCGCCGGGUCCCCACUUCCCUUCGGAGGAGGGCGGCAUUGGGAGACAACACCUGCACCGCACGCUGUGGCCAGGACAGUGAGCGAUCGCGCAGGGCAGGGCGCUAGGUGCCCAGGGACUGCUGCGGGCCUUCGUUGUCAGCUUCCCUUUUAUUCUAACUACCUGUCUGAACAGCAAGGCAGAGACGAUCAAAGAAAGACCAGCCCCUCCCAGGGAGUUCCUCCAUUAGCAUUUGAGGAAUGAAUGCUCUCCCUGGAGCCAGGCAGUAGUGUCCCGUCCAGGCCCUGUGUCUUGAGCCCUGUCCCUCUGCUCUCUCUUCUUUUGUCGCCUCUACUCUUCCACGUUACACAGCCUCGUCUUUCCCCUCUCCCACUUGGGAGUUUGCAGUGUGGACGCCCUAGGAACACAGAAUAUUUAUUGAGCAUCUACCAUGUUCUAGUCACCAUGACAGGCACUGGGAAUAGAGUGGGACCAGGAAAGACAAGUCCCUCUGCAGGGAUUAAUGGAUCAUUGACCCUAUGGUACCUGGGGCCUGGAGGUGGGCCUUUGAAGUCUAUACCUGCCACUUAUUCAGGUCUACAGCUCUCUGCUUCUGGAUCCACUAAGAUAUAAGGAGAUUUUGCUUCACAUUCUUCACAUUCCAAACAGAGCCACCACAGCCCCAUGCAUUCCCCACCAUGAUGGACUAUAUUUCUGUACU